GGAUUGUUGCUGGCCUUUGGGUAUGUGCACAUCCUCCUCCGAUUUNUAUUCAUCCACCUGUGCACUUUUUGUAGGAGUUCUUUCAUCGGGUUUUUGAAGGUGCUCAUUAUGAGUUACUUGAAAAGACUAGUUGACAAGGCUUCUAUGUUCUUAUAAACCAUUGAAGUAUGUUAUAGAAUGAUCUUGUUAUUGGGACUUUAUUGACCCUUUAAACUUAAUACAACUUUCAGCAACGGAUCUCUUGGCUCUCCCAUCGAUGAAGAACGCAGCGAAAUGCGAUAAGUAAUGUGAAUUGCAGAAUUCAGUGAAUCAUCGAAUCUUUGAACGCACCUUGCGCCCUCUGGUAUUCCGGAGGGCAUGCCUGUUUGAGUGUCAUUAAAUUCUCAACUUUAUAAGUUUUUACUUAUUAAAGCUUGGAUGUUGGAGGCUUGCAGGCGUUUGUCAGCUCCUCUUAAAUUUAUUAGUGGGAACCCUGUUUUGUUAGUUCUAACCUUGGUGUGAUAAUUAUCUACAUUUUGGUGGAACCUUACAAUAAUAAAGCUCUAUUGGUUUGGGUUGUUGCAUUUAGUUUGCUCAAUCUGUUCUAUUCAUUGGAGAAAAAGGGAAGUUCNGCUUUCUAACUGUCUUGAUUGACUAUAUAUAACUUAUUUGCUUGACCUCAAAUCAGGUAGGAUUACCCGCUGAACUCAUAUCAAUAANCGGAGGAA
rnacentral:sRNA from 1 species